GAUUUUAACGGAUUAAUGACACAUUUCCCCUUAUACUCUUACUUUUUUAUGGAUCUUCCCUUGUAUAGAAUAUUUUAUGCAUUCUACCAUUUUACUAUUGUUUUGUUAAAAUUUAUAUCCUUUCAUCUAAUUUUAUUACGUGUCAAGAAUAUAUGCAUUAAUCUAUAAGAUUAUCACUUGAAAAUUAAGCUGAAGUCGGGGAUUUCAAACCGCUAUUUUUAUAGAAGACUGUAUAAGCCACAAGCUGUUCGAUAAAAUGACAAGGAGAAAAAAGACUGAAGUUAAAUGGAGGAAAUCAUUUUUGAAUUUAUCCAUCCCUUGUAACAAGAGAAAUACUAGUGAGAAAGAGAGAAAAAUUUGCAGUUGGCGGCACUCUAACACUUAGUGCUAAGUUUCUGAGUACAGGUGCCGAUUAAAAUAGAGACAACCAGGUGUGUGCGUGCAAGCAGUAGCAAACUACGGUUGCAACUGAAAAAGGCUUGAAGGAAAUUUCUGUAACACACAAGGCCAUCCUUGAGGACUGGACUUCUCACACAUUGUGGAGUACCCAGGAUAAGCCAGAGUCAUCAAUCAGAUCCUCAACAGUGUGGAAGGCAGUUUGGUGCCUGAAUGCCCCGGAAAAGAUAAGGAAAAUGCAAUCUCAUGCCAAUCCAACUGCUUUAAGCUCUAUUAGUCCCCUCUUCCCUUUGUAGGCAUGCCAAAAAGAGGAAGAAGCUGUGGAGCCCACAAUUUUCUUCUACGAGUAUGUGGACACCACAUGGUUAGCUAGUUCUAGGGUUAUCAAGAGCAGGGUUUGGAAAUUUUGAUUGAAGGUGGAGCACUAUUAAUAAGCUGGGGAAUGAAUGCAGAAAUGACUACACUGCGAUUAGUGCUGCGUGUUUGUGUUGACAAAUUUGGAAGAGUAGGAAUGAAAGUCAAAUGGAGUCGUCCUAUCAAUCCACGUAAAGUAGCAAGAAAGUCAUCCCUGCUCACAGCAUAGUUCUCUCUCUUGCGGACCAUCCUUCCUUCUCCUGCUCCAACAUCUUCUCAAAGAGGAGUCCAGAUGGAUAGAAGGGAAAAACCACUUGAUGGGAACCUAAAGAUAAAUAUGUAGGGGUUCCACUAUGGUAAAGCGGUGGAUGGUAGGGGUUCCAAGUGCAAGAGUAGGUAUGUCGCUCGAGGAUAAGCCAUGAAGAUUAGGGAAGCUCUCAUCUUCGCGACUUCGUUGGGAACUCAUGGGAUUGUAAUCGAAUCUGAUGCUGUUGCUACUGUGUUAGCCAUCAAGGAUUCAAGAUUGACCCCUGCUUGGAAAGGUGGUCUGGUCACAGCAGACACCAAGCAUCAUUUACCAUUUAUGCCUAAUGUGUCCGUAAAGUUUAUCAGUAUAGAGAGUAUAAUAUGGUCGUUUGAAUUCUUUGCCUCCAGAAUUCAUUAGGGUUUUACAAGUCUCCAUUGCAUGUAAAUCGGACGCCAGAUUACAUUGGCUAACACCCAAAUGUAGUCUCUCUUUUUUCUUUUC